ACGAAGGGGGCGAGCGUUGUUCGGAAUUACUGGGCGUAAAGGGAGCGCAGGCGGUUCAUUUAGUUAGGCGUGAAAGCCCCGGGCUCAACCUGGGAACUGCGCUUAAUACUGAUGAACUAGAAAACAGAAGAGGGUAGUGGAAUUCCCAGUGUAGAGGUGAAAUUCGUAGAUAUUGGGAAGAACACCGGUGGCGAAAGCGGCUACCUGGUCUGAUUUUGACGCUGAGGCUCGAAAGCGUGGGGAGCAAACAGG
rnacentral:rRNA from 1 species